UGCCAGACUCCUACGGGAGGCAGCAGUGAGGAAUAUUGGUCAAUGGGCGAGAGCCUGAACCAGCCAAGUCGCGUGAGGGAAGACGGUCCUAUGGAUUGUAAACCUCUUUUGCCGGGGAGCAAAAAGCGGUACGUGUACCGCAUCGAGAGUACCCGGAGAAAAAGCGUCGGCUAACUCCGUGCCAGCAGCCGCGGUAAUACGGAGGAUGCGAGCGUUAUCCGGAUUUAUUGGGUUUAAAGGGUGCGCAGGCGGAAGAUCAAGUCAGCGGUAAAAUUGAGGGGCUCACCCUCUUCGAGCCGUUGAAACUGGUUUUCUUGAGUGAGUGAGAAGUAUGCGGAAUGCGUGGUGUAGCGGUGAAAUGCAUAGAUAUCACGCAGAACUCCGAUUGCGAAGGCAGCAUACCGGCGCUCAACUGACGCUCAUGCACGAAAGUGUGGGUAUCGAACAGGAUUAGAUACCCUCGUA
rnacentral:rRNA from 1 species